UACGUAGGGGGCGAGCGUUGUCCGGAAUCAUUGGGCGUAAAGCGCGUGUAGGCGGCCCGGUAAGUCCGCUGUGAAAGUCCAGGGCUCAACCCUGGGAUGCCGGUGGAUACUGUCGGGCUCGAGUCCGGAAGAGGCGAGUGGAAUUCCUGGUGGUAGCGGUGAAAUGCGCAGGAUAUCAGGAGGAACACCAAUGGCGAAGGCAGCUC
rnacentral:rRNA from 1 species